rnacentral:rRNA from 1 species
UACAGAGGUCUCAAGCGUUUGUUCGGAUUCAUUGGCGUAAAGGGUGCGUAGGUGGCGCCGUAAGUCGGGUGUGAAAUCUCGGGGCUUAACUCCGAAAUUGCAUUCGAUACUGCGGCGCUUGAGGACUGGAGAGGAGACUGGAAUUCACGGUGUAGCAGUGAAAAUGCGUAGAUAUCGUGAGGAAGACCGGUGGCGAAGGCGGGUCUCUGGACAGUUCCUGACGCUGAGGCACGAAGGCCAGGGGAGCAAACGGG